rnacentral:lncRNA from 1 species
GUCAACUUCUUGUCUGUUCUUCGAUUGCAAUAUAGCUGUCUAUUUUUUAAAUGAACAAAUAUAUGCAUCCUAAACAAAUUUUCUAAGAUUGAAAUAUAAAUACACAUAUAUCAUACUUGAAAAGUCGAUUAUUGGUUAUUAAAAUGUAUACUGGCAUUGUAGUCUUGUGUGUUCAGUACUCAAGUAUAGGUUUAUAUUUGCAUAGGGAAUUGUUUAGAUAGGAAAAG